rnacentral:rRNA from 1 species
UACAGAGGAGCCAAGCGUUGUCCGGAUUGACUGGGCGUAAAGCGCACGCAGGCGGUGCGGUAAGUCACCUGUGAAAUCUCCUGGCUCAACUGGGAGCUUGCAGGCGAAACUGCCGUGCUGGAGUGUGGGAGAGGUGAGUGGAAUUCCCGGUGUAGCGGUGAAAUGCGUAGAUAUCAGGAAGAACACCCGUGGCGAAGGCGGCUCUCUGGUACGUGACUGACGCUGAGACGCGAAAGCGUGGGGAGCAAACAGG